CACUGAAGGUAAUGCAAAUCCACAAAUACUCAUGGAACCCAAGUUUUUGUGGUGAAUUUAUUGUAUAUCGAUACACAUCCGUACAACAUGUUGUAAAUAUAUGUAUUGGCGACAUACGUAACUCACCACAACUUGGUAAAAAUAGGGAAUAUGU